AGCCAUGCAUGUCUAAGUACACACGAAUUAACAGUGAAACCGCAAAAGGCUCAUUAUAUCAGUUAUGGUUCCUUAGAUCGUUAACAGUUACUUGGAUAACUGUGGUAAUUCUAGAGCUAAUACAUGCAUUAUAAACACGGACCUUUGGGACGUGUGCUUUUAUUAGGCUAAAACCAAGCGAUCGCAAGAUCGAUACUUUGGUUGAACUCUAGAUAACUUGCAGAUCGUAUGGUCUUGUACCGACGACAGAUCUUUCAAAUGUCUGCCCUAUCAACUUUUGAUGGUAGUAUCUAGGACUACCAUGGUUGCAACGGGUAACGGGGAAUCAGGGUUCGAUUCCGGAGAGGGAGCCUGAGAAACGGCUACCACAUCUAAGGAAGGCAGCAGGCGCGUAAAUUACCCACUCCCAGCUCGGG
rnacentral:rRNA from 1 species